rnacentral:rRNA from 1 species
UACGUAGGGGGCGAGCGUUGUCCGGAUUCAUUGGGCGUAAAGAGCUCGUAGGCGGCUUGGCAAGUCGGGUGUGAAAUCUCUGGGCUUAACUCAGAGAGGCCACUCGAUACUGCUAUGGCUAGAGUCCGGUAGGGGACAAUGGAAUUCCUGGUGUAGCGGUGAAAUGCGCAGAUAUCAGGAGGAACACCGGUGGCGAAGGCGGUGGUCUGGGCCGGCACUGACGCUGAGGAGCGAAAGCGUGGGGAGCGAACAGG